rnacentral:rRNA from 1 species
CUUAAGUAAUAAUAGUUAUAUUCUUUAAACUUAAAAAAUUUGGCGGUAUUUUAGUCUAUUCAGAGGAACCUGUUUUGUAAUCGAUAUUCCACGAUGAACCUCACUUAAGUUNNNNNAUUAAUUUGUAUACCGUUGUUAUAGAAAAUUUUAUUAGAAUAUUAAUUUUCAAUUGAUUUUAUAAGAUUUUAUAUCAGAUCAAGGUGCAGUUUAUAUUUAAGAAUAUAAUGGGUUACAAUGAAUUAAUUUUAUUAGAUAUUAUAAUGAAAAAUUAAGCGAAAGAGGAUUUGAAAGUAAAAUUAUAAAGAUAAAUAAUUUGAUUUUAGCUCUAAAAUAUGCACAUAUCGCCCGUCGCUCUUAUUAUUAAAAUAAGAUAAGUCGUAA